GAGGUAAGAUGAAAAGAAAAUACAAUCUAACUUUUUCUGAAGACAGUCAGUUCCCCUCAAAGAUACA